UCGGGCACACAAACACAUCUUUUCAGGUUUGGAACGAUAUGAGGGCACUGCAUUCAUAAAUUACUAAUGAGGGAGUAGGGAUCCUGUUUUGCAAAAGCGUUUGACAACACACCUACUCGGACGUUUCGGACACGGCCUACCUUCCAACAGCUCAGCAGGAGGACAUCGCUCUGCCAGGAUGGGAUGCCAAGAUGUGCCUCCAACUAAACACUGACACAGACAUGACUAAAAGAUCACACUUGCAGGUGUGAGACAGAACUAGGGGAGAUCAGAAAAAUGCACA